AGAGGAAUAAAAGAGCUACAGCUCAAAAAUCUCAACACAAACUGUUCCUACUGCGCUGCUACACGGCCUACUGUUCUACCACCUCAGAGACGCGGCGAGAGAGAAACAGGGCAAGAGAGGAGAGGAGGAAGGAGACCCUGACGAGGACAUGCCGAUUCCACCCAAGAGAGCAACGCUGGAAGAAAGAAAAGCGAAUAAGAGAUUGGAUGACAGAGUUCCAGCCGAGAAAAUAAAUGAAGAAUUUAGGUGCAUUCAGGUAGAAGGUGACGGAGAAAGAGUGUAAUGAGAUGGGGUGUAUCAGGAAGCUACAAACCUCAUUCCACAGACUCAAGGAAACACAAACCAUUAGACAACACUGUCUUUCAGGAACCAGACAAUACCCUUUUCAUCAACGAACAAUGUGUGUGUGCACAUAUUUGCUGAGAGUCAGGCACACCUUUGCAGAGUGCUGUAGUUUUGUCUCUCAUUUCUUUAACAAGCUGGAAAACACUUCAAGAGGAAUCAGACUCCAACACAUGCAAACCAGCUGCAACAGGUCAACACAAAUGAUCAACAACAGGAUUUGAG